CAGGAGGCUUAGACAAUGUAGUAUCGCUUCUUAACGAAACGAUGUCGAAGUUCUUUUUCGUCUUAGAGAUAACGAUAAACAUUUCCUAGCCAAUGUAACGCAAUUGUCGCGAUCGUUGUGUCGAACGGAUCGUUCGAUAAACAAACGAAUAUUGGCUAUGGUAACGAAAAUUUAGCUGUCAGUUUCAAAUUGGAACAAACAAAGCGGGAUUAUUCUAAAGUUUAAGUGAGUGUUUACUGUGAGUGUGUGUUAAAGAAUGGAUUCUAGGGUAAGGGCAAGUCCCGAACAACUCUCAACUCUACUGGAGUAUAUGGAAAGUCAUGGGGACCUGGCUAGGCCUGUUGCAGGGGCACAAGGUCGAGUACGGUCAGACCAAUUAUGGUCUGAUCUUACUAAUAUAUUAAAUUCCGUUGGUGGUGG